UCGCUAAGAUUUUUUUCUUUUGUAAAAUUCUCAUUUAGACAAGAUGAUUAAAAAAGGUAGUUGAAAACAACUUGUGAAAAUUUUUUCAAAAAAAAAUUUAGAAUAAAACACAAAGCCUCUUGUCAAGAUUACUUGAGUUCAAUGUUUCUUAGUCUUUCUCUGAAUCUUAGAAGUCAUAUUUAAGAGCACAACAGAACAAUAAUAAAAAUUUACUUUAUUAUUUUAUUCUUUUUAAUCAAUCUUCAGGAAAAAAUUAUCACAAAUUCAGUUUUCUAAACAUAUUUAGUGAAAUUGAGAUGAUUAAUGUAAGAAUAAAUGAUAUUCUGUUCAGUUCUAUUCAAGUUACUAUCUUUUAUUCGUUCGUGUAGAUUACCUUGUACUUAUUCUGUCUGUGGAAAUACAACAGAAAGUGGAAAUCAAUAAGGUUCAGUGAAAUCACCAUAAAAUACUUGAGACUUUCUAUUCAGAUAGAAAAUGAUUGUUCGAAUACACGCAAAGAGAUUUUGGAUAUUUUUUAUUUGAAAUAAAAUAAUAAACGGAAAAAAUAAUUAUUUCAAAUAAAA